AUCUCCAGUCAUAAUGGGGGGGA
rnacentral:miRNA from 1 species